UGCCCAGCAACUCCUAUCCCUAUCUCCUCGCGGUACUGGCCGGGGUACGAGUAACCUUAGGGAAAAUCGGGUAACCAACCCCCGGUGGGAACUAUGGUCGUAUGCUGACAGGGAAUG
rnacentral:ribozyme from 1 species